rnacentral:lncRNA from 1 species
CUUUUAGAAAUUAAAUAUGGAGGAUGCGUUUCCAGCAUCAAUUAUUUCAGCUGCAGGAAAAAGAGAACCGGAGCAGAGGUGAUGGGAGAGGCUGAGCUGAGCGGGGCGGAGGAGCGUCCGCUUUGUGCAGUGGGUCCCAGCUCUCUAUCGGAUUCGAGUCUCUGUAGGAGAUUCCCCCGACUAUCACCUACACUCCUGUGACUUUAGGAAAAAAAUUCUGCCUCUGGGACAAAGGUCAGUGAGCUGACUUCCUUGAAGGUGCACUGCUGGUUGCAUUAGUGCCUGGAGGCAGCAAAGUAUAAUGGGUCAGAGCAGGGCUUCUUGCUGUGUGAUCUGGGGCAGGUGAGUUGACGUUUCUGUGCCUUUUUCCUCCUCUGUAAAAUGGCACCUGCCCCACUGGGCUGCAGUAAGGAGACACAGAGCGAACAGGUAUAAAAUGCUUAGAACAGCCCUCUGAGACAUGGUGAUCGAGGCAUAAAAAUGUUGGCCAAUAUUGCAAAAUGAGUGGGUAACACCCCUCCCCCAGCCCCAGUUGGGAGGGACGGACCUUUGGGGGAAAGUCAUUACUGAAAGAACAGAGUUUUCUUUCAUGUGUUUUGAAAAUGGAAUCCUUCACAGAAGACAGCGCUUCUGCAGAGUAAAAAUGCCAGUGAAAAAGAGAAAAUGCUGACUUCUCCCAGCCUCUGGCACCGAGGAGGAGGGACUCUUCAAGCCAAAGGGACUUUUAGCUGAGUUAUAAAGCAGUAUUCCUGGUGAACGCUACCCUCUGUCCUUCUCCCUGGGAUUGUAAAACUCUGUAACAGAAUGUUCAAAGUCUCCUAGGUAUUUUACAAAAAUCACCGGAGAAAGACUGCCCCCGCAUCAUCAAUUUUUAACCAGUGCUCCCUGGGCAUAUUCUAAAUAAGGGCUAUCUAAAGAACACGUUGCUGGUUUGUUUUCUACUGGUGUUAGCAAGAAAAUCCAUUGUGUGAAUUACAUCGUAUGAGUGACACAAAAAAAACGCUAAGAUAGUUUUUAAAAAUAAUUUUUCCCUCGGUAACCAAAAAAAAAAAACCAUUGUAAACAAAUGUGAAAAAUAAAUACACAUACACAGAGAAAAAUAAAAAGUAC